rnacentral:rRNA from 1 species
AUUGAACGCUAGCGGGAUGCCUUACCCAUGCAAGUCGCACGAGUGGCGAACUGGUUAGUAAUGUAUCUGAACGUGCCCAUUAGCGGGGGCUAACUACGCGACACGUAGCUAAUACCGCAUACUCUUGGAGCCGCCGAUAUCGGAUUAGCUAUUGGGUGGGUUAACGGCUCACCAAGGCGACGAUCCGUAGCUGGUUUGAGAGGAGGACCAGCCAAACUGGGACUGAGACACGGCGCAGACGCCUAAGGGAGGCAGCAGGGGGGAAGUUUGGACAAUGGGGGAAACCCUGAUCCAGCCAUUCCGCGUGUGCGAUGAAGGCCUUCGGGGGGUAAAGCAAUUGUGGCAGGAAAGCGGUAACUGCAGAAUAAGCACCGGAUAACCACGUGCCAGCAGCCGCGGUAAUAC